rnacentral:rRNA from 1 species
ACCAAGGGUGUAUCAGUUGUCGUGCCAACGGCACAGCUGGGUAGCCAAGUGCGGAUCGGAUAAACGCUGAAGGCAUCUAAGCGUGAAGCCGACUUCAAGAUAAGAUCUCCCAUCCGAAAGGAGUAAGACCCCAUGAAGACCACAUGGUUGAUAGGUCGCAGGUGGAAGUGCAGCAAUGUACGGAGCUGAGCGAUACUAAUAGGUCGAGGGCUUGAUCUG